UCCAGACUCCUACGGGAGGCAGCAGUGGGGGAUAUUGCACAAUGGGGGGAACCCUGAUGCAGCGACGCCGCGUGGGUGAAGGAGCGUUUCGGCGCGUAAAGCCCUAUCGGCAGGGAAGAAGGAGGACGGUACCUGACUAAGGAGCCCCGGCUAACUACGUGCCAGCAGCCGCGGUAAUACGGAGGGGGCAAGCGUUAUCCGGAUUUACUGGGUGUAAAGGGGGCGCAGACGGCAGCGCAAGCCAGGAGUGAAAGCCCGGGGCCCAACCCCGGGACUGCUCUUGGAACUGCGCGGCUGGAGUGCAGGAGGGGCAGGCGGAAUUCCUGGUGUAGCGGUGAAAUGCGUAGAUAUCAGGAGGAACACCGGUGGCGAAGGCGGCCUGCUGGACUGCGACUGACGUUGAGGCCCGAAAGCGUGGGGAGCAAACAGGAUUAGAUACCCCUGUA
rnacentral:rRNA from 1 species